ACCAUACCACCCUGAAAACACCAAUUUCAUCUGGUUUCGGAAGCUAAGCAAGUUUGGCUAGGUUAGUACUUGGACAGGAGACCCAAUAGAUAAAACAGGAAU
rnacentral:rRNA from 1 species